rnacentral:lncRNA from 1 species
AAAAUAGUCAAAGAAUAGACAAGCAGCUGCAGUGAGCAUUUCUAACACUAGAUUUUAUGCCAUCCCUCUCCCCUCCAAAAAAGUGAACUGUUUAUCAAGAAGAUACUAUGUAUCUACUUUUAUGAAGUUAUUAUCUCUUUUCUUUGUUAUCCCUCAGCCCUUGAGAAAUGGAAGGAAAAGGGAAACAACACAGGCCAAAGCAUCAGAAAACCAUUUUGUUCUGGUUUUAUGCUCCUUUCUCUAGCCAGACUCUGACAGCAUCCUGGUUUUUCUGCAUUAAGGUCAUUUUAUAUUUACCCAGACUUAUAGAAUGUGUCCUUCCAGGAUCCAGACUGAGAGCUUGUGAUGCUUAACCCAUUGUUAGCUAGUUUUGUUUACCUGGUACCACAGAAUUCUAUAGUUACAUAAAUCAGCAGGGGAAGCACUGGGGAAGACAACCAUUGGU